AUUGAACGCUGGCGGCAUGCCUUACACAUGCAAGUCGAACGGCAGCACGGGGGCAACCCUGGUGGCGAGUGGCGAACGGGUGAGUAAUGCAUCGGAACGUGUCCUCUUGUGGGGGAUAACCAGUCGAAAGACUGGCUAAUACCGCAUGAGAUCGAAAGAUGAAAGCGGGGGCCGCAAGGCCUCGCGCGAGAGGAGCGGCCGAUGCCGGAUUAGCUAGUUGGUGGGGUAAUGGCCCACCAAGGCGACGAUCCGUAGCUGGUCUGAGAGGACGACCAGCCACACUGGGACUGAGACACGGCCCCAGACUCCUACGGGAGGCAGCAGUGGGGAAUUUUGGACAAUGGGCGCAAGCCUGAUCCAGCCAUGCCGCGUGUGUGAAGAAGGCCUCGGGUUGUAAAGCACUUUCGGACGGAACGAAAUCGCGCGCAUGAACAAUGCGCGUGGAUGACGGUACCGUAAGAAGAAGCACCGGCUAACUACGUGCCAGCAGCCGCGGUAAUACGUAGGGUGCAAGCGUUAAUCGGAAUUACUGGGCGUAAAGGGUGCGCAGGCGGCCCCGCAUGUCAGGCGUGAAAUCCCCGGGCUCAACCUGGGAAUGGCGCUUGAAACUACGGGGCUGGAGUGUGGCAGAGGGAGGUGGAAUUCCACGUGUAGCGGUGAAAUGCGUAGAUAUGUGGAGGAACACCGAUGGCGAAGGCAAGCCUCCUGGGCCAA
rnacentral:rRNA from 1 species